UACGUAGGGGGCAAGCGUUAUCCGGAAUCACUGGGCGUAAAGGGAGCGUAGGCGGUUUGACAAGCCAGAGGUGAAAGGCAAUAGCUUAACUAUUGUAAGCCUUUGGAACUGUCGAACUUGAGUGCAGGAGAGGAAAGUGGAAUUCCUAGUGUAGCGGUGAAAUGCGUAGAUAUUAGGAGGAACACCAGUGGCGAAGGCGACUUUCUGGACUGUAACUGACGCUGAGGCUCGAAAGCGUGGGGAGCGAACAGGAUUAGAUACCCUGGUAGUCCACGCUGUAAACGAUGAAUACUAGGUGUCUGGUGUCAAAGCUAGGUGCCGCAGCUAACGCAUUAAGUAUUCCGCCUGGGGAGUACGCACGCAAGUGUGAA
rnacentral:rRNA from 1 species